AACGCACAUUGCGCCCCUUGGUAUUCCAUGGGGCAUGCCUGUUCGAGCGUCAUUUGUACCUUCAAGCACUGCUUGGUGUUGGGUGUUUGUCCCCGUUUCUACACGUGGACUCGCCUUAAAGUGAUUGGCAGCCGGCGUACUCGCCUCGGAGCGCAGCACAUUUUGCGCUCCUUGACCUGAACGGUGGCGUCCACUAAGCCUAUACUUUUGCUCUUGACCUCGGAUCAGGUAGGGAUACCCGCUGAACUUAA
rnacentral:misc_RNA from 1 species